GCUGUCCCACGCGCCGGGUCCCGUUGGCGCCGGGGCCUCCUGGGACGGCCUGGCCGCGGCCUGCGGGUGUAGGCGCCUCGGCGGCCACCGCGUCCCCAGGGGGCCUCGCGGACGGGGGCGCGGGGCUGCGGGGAGGAGGCGGGCGGGCCCCUCGGGCGACACCGCGGGGCGGGCGGCGGGAAGCCCGGACUCAGCGGUUUCCUGGGCAACCGGCCUCCUCCGGCGCGGCCCGCGCGGCUCCAGGUGGCGGGAGGCGGCGGUUGGCGGGAAGGGCCGCGCGGGCCCGGGGGCGGCGCCUCAGGUAGCAGCGCCAGGUGGCGCCCGUGGGCGGCGGGGCUCCCGGGGAGGCGCCUGCUCCCGCCCACGCCGGGCCCGGCCUUCGCGAGCUUCCUUCUGGAUUCCAGCGCGAAGCCGCCGCGGAAACUCCCCGGGCGGGCAUCGGAGCUCUGGGGCGGGGCGGCCGGGCUCAGAGGGCGGGCGGGAGCAGGCGGGCGGCGAGGGCGGGCAGCAGCAGCGGGAGCAGGGGCGCCCCGGGCGCCGGGGCCGCUGCGCCCGAGCACUGCUGAGACGACAUCCCUUCCAGCGCCGCCACGUAGUCCAGCCCCAGCCAGCCGCGAUAUCUCCCCACAAACCUAAACAAUUUCGAGAGGGACUUGUGUUCUGCAACCAGUCACAGAAUAUCAGGUGAGCUGGGCGUGUCUUCACUGACCCACCCGCCCAGGGAUGCUGCACUCCUCUCCACCCUGCUCAGAAUCACUAGAAUGACCGUUCUGUGGCUACAGCCCUAAAAGAGCUACUAAAAAGACCAGAAGUAGUAUGAGAACUUAUGAAUACGAAUAUAAAUAAAGGACAUCUGGAGAACAUGCA
rnacentral:lncRNA from 10 species